rnacentral:rRNA from 1 species
AGCGAACGCUGGCGGCAGGCCUAACACAUGCAAGUCGAACGAAGUCUUCGGACUUAGUGGCGGACGGGUGAGUAACACGUGGGAACGUGCCUUUAGGUUCGGAAUAACUCAGGGAAACUUGUGCUAAUACCGAAUGUGCCCUUCGGGGGAAAGAUUUAUCGCCUUUAGAGCGGCCCGCGUCUGAUUAGCUAGUUGGUGAGGUAAAGGCUCACCAAGGCGACGAUCAGUAGCUGGUCUGAGAGGAUGAUCAGCCACAUUGGGACUGAGACACGGCCCAAACUCCUACGGGAGGCAGCAGUGGGGAAUCUUGCGCAAUGGGCGAAAGCCUGACGCAGCCAGGCCGCGUGAAUGAUGAAGGUCUUAGGAUUGUAAAAUUCUUUCACCGGGGACGAUAAUGACGGUACCCGGAGAAGAAGCCCCGGCUAACUUUGUGCCAGCCGCCGCAGUAACAC